UACGGGGGGGGCAAGCGUUGUUCGGAAUUACUGGGCGUAAAGGGCUCGUAGGCGGCCGACUAAGUCAGACGUGAAAUCCCCAGGCUCAACCUGGGAACUGCGUCUGAUACUGGAUGGCUUGAAUCCGGGAGAGGGAUGCAGAAUUCCAGGUGUAGCGGUGAAAUGCGUAGAUAUCUGGAGGAAUACCGGUGGCGAAGGCGGCAUCCUGGACCGGCAUUGACGCUGAGGAGCGAAAGCCAGGGGAGCAAACGGG
rnacentral:rRNA from 1 species